UGGCCAGACUCCUACGGGAGGCAGCAGUGGGGGAUAUUGCACAAUGGGGGGAACCCUGAUGCAGCGACGCCGCGUGGGUGAAGGAGUGCUUCGGCCUGUAAAGCCCUAUCGGCAGGGAAGAAGCAAGACGGUACCUGACUAAGAAGCCCCGGCUAACUACGUGCCAGCAGCCGCGGUAAUACGUAGGGGGCGUGCGUUAUCCGGAUUCACUGGGUGUAAAGGGAGCGUAGACGGCCAUGCAAGCCAGGGGUGAAAGCCCGGGGCCCAACCCCGGGACUGCCCUUGGAACUGCAUGGCUGGAGUGCGGGAGGGGCAGGCGGAAUUCCUGGUGUAGCGGUGAAAUGCGUAGAUAUCAGGAGGAACACCGGCGGCGAAGGCGGCCUGCUGGGCUGCAACUGACGUUGAGGCCCGAAAGCGUGGGGAGCAAACAGGAUUAGAUACCCCAGUAGAA
rnacentral:rRNA from 1 species